rnacentral:rRNA from 1 species
GACGAACGCUGACGGAAUGCUUAACACAUGCAAGUCAACUUGUAUUUGGGUUUUUAACUUAGGUUUGUGUGGCGGACGGGUGAGUAACGCGUAUAGAACGUGCCUCACAGCUAGGGACAACAUUUGGAAACGAAUGCUAAUACCUAAUAUUAUGAUAAUAGGGCAUCCUAUAAUUAUGAAAGCUAUAAGCGCUGUGAGAGAGCUUUGCGUCCCAUUAGCUAGUUGGAGAGGUAACGGCUCACCAAGGCGAUGAUGGGUAGCCGGCCUGAGAGGGUGAUCGGCCACAAGGGGACUGAGACACGGCCCUUACCCCUACGGGAGGCAGCAGGGGGGAAUAUUGGACAAUGGACCAAGAGUAUGAUCCAGCAAUUCUGUGUGCACGAUGAAGUUUUUCGGAAUGUAAAGUGCUUUCAGUUGGGAAGAAAGAAAUGACGGUACCAACAGAAGAAGUGACGGCUAAAUACGUG